UACGUAGGGUGCGAGCGUUAAUCGGAAUUACUGGACGUAAAGCGCACGCAGGCGGUCUGCUAAGUUUGGAGUGACAGUUGGUGGCUUAACUGCCAAAGUGCUUCGAAAACUGACAGACUUGAGGGCUUCAGAGGGACACGGAAUUCCGGGUGGAGUGGUGAAAUGCGUAGAGAUCCGGAGGAACACCAAAGGCGAAGGCAGUGUCCUGGGGAGUACCUGACGCUCAGGUGCGAAAGCCAGGGGAGCGAACGGG
rnacentral:rRNA from 1 species